AUUCCAGCUCCAAGAGCGUAUAUUAAAGUUGUUGCAGUUAAAAAGCUCGUAGUUGGAUUUCUGGUACAACGCGCCUGGCCCGCAUUUGUGAGUGCCGGCGCGCGUUUGCCAUCCUUCUAGAAAACGUUUCUACCUGGGCAACUGGGCCGGACUCGCGAUCUAGAUCUUUUACUUUGAAAAAAUUAGAGUGUUUAAAGCAGGCUUUUGCUGUGAAUACAUUAGCAUGGAAUAAUAAUCUAGGACUUCGGUUCUAUUUUGUUGGUUUCUAGUACUGAAGUAAUGAUUGAUAGGGAUAGUUGGGGGUGCUAGUAUUGGCCGGCCAGAGGUGAAAUUCUUGGAUUCGGUCAAGACUAACUUAUGCGAAAGCAUUCACCAAGGAUGUCUUCAUCG
rnacentral:rRNA from 1 species